rnacentral:lncRNA from 1 species
UACGCACUAUGACACCUGGCUAAUUUUUUGUAUUUUAGUAGAGAUGGGGUUUCACCAUGUUGCCCAGUGUGGUCUCAAAUUCCUGAGCUCAGGCGAUCCUUCCACCUUGGCCUCCCAAAGUGCUGGGAUUGCAGGCGCGAGCCACUGUGCCCAGCCUAUUCCGAAGUAUUUUUAAAUAGCUAUUGUAAAUGAGAUUGAUUUCUUAAUUUUUUUGAUAGUUCGUUGUUAUUGUAUAUAAAACUUAAAAUACAAAAACUAGCUGGGUAUGGUGGCAUGCGCCUAUAGUCCCAGUUACUUGGGAAGCUGAGGUGGGGGAUCACCUGAGCCCAGGAGGUUGAGGCUGCAGUGAGCUGUGAUCAGGCCACUGCACUCCAGCCUGGGUGACAGAGUGAGACCCUGUUUAAAAAAAAAAUAACACAAGCAAAUUUUUGGAGGUAAUGGAUAAGUUUAGCAUUUUGGUUGUGGAGAUGGUCUGAUGGGUGUAUGCACAUGUUCAAACUUGCCAAGAUGUAUACUCAUCAAGACACAUAAACCAAAUGCAUACUAUUUUUUGUGUAUCAUUUAUAACUCAAUAAAGCUAAAAAAAAAAAAUGAAGAAGGAAAAAGGGUAUAAAAGGGUCCUAAGACCAAAACUGCUGAUACAGGACAUCCAUUUCUGCCUCCUGGUUUUUAGGCCCAGUUUCCAACACACCUUCCCCU